rnacentral:lncRNA from 1 species
UAUUUCUAAAGAGCUUUUAUUUUCCAUUCAUCUCCCUUUACCCCCUGGAAGAAGCAGGAAUGUUGCUCCAAAACGCUUUCCCAAGGAACCAACCCACAACCCCAAAACCUCCCCGUGCUGGGCACCGCAUCCAGCCACAACAGCCACCCCCUGAACGCUCCCAUUGCCCCCAGCUCCCGACGGGCGCUUCACCCCAGCUCCAGACCCUACAGACGCCUCCAGAGGAGCAAAGACCUGAACAUCCGAUGUCGGAAGAGGAGGAAGGAGGAGGAGGAGGGCUGGUUUAUUUUCCUGUGCUGUCCCGCAGGGAGAGAGCGACCUGUCUCCUUGUUUGUGCUUCAUUCGGGAUGGAUGGCGGCACCGCAGGGUGCUGAGCCCAGCAUUAAUAACCCUGACAGCUCCUCGGCGAGUGUAAUCGCAGCAGUUUUGAUGAUGAAGGUGUUACUCCAGCGAGCUUGGGGCCAAACCGUCUUCUCUGAUGGCUGAGACAUAGUGACGGGGAGUGAGGAUGUGCAGCCGCCUUCCCUGGCCCGAGCACCCCGCGCCGAAAGGCUCCAGCACCCAUGGGAGUCACUGCAGGAACGUGGCUGGAGGUGGGUGGCAUUGCCCCUGUGGGGUCAGCAGCUCCCCCCAACACACCCUCAGUUCAUAACCAGGUGCAUUUAACCCUUUAACCCUCACCCCAAACGUGGGGAGAAGGUACCCCCCAGCAGCGAGUGGGGAUGCGCUGGGGAGAGCCUGCAGCACAUUGGUGACCCCAGAGCAAGCUUCACACUGCCUUUAUCCACCACAAAGCAGCUAAAACCACCCCAAAACUCCUCCAGCAUACCAUCUACCCAGCGUGGGGCUGGCCAGGGCGGGACGUGGUGGGUCAGUGGUGAUGGUCUGGCUGGAGAUCGGUGCUCCCCGAGCCCCUCGGGCCAGCGGGUACCUGUACCUGCAGCUUCUUGGUGAGCAGCUCCUCGCAGGGGGGUGGCAGGGGCCGCUUCAGCCCCUUGGUGGAGGAGCCGGACACGUCUUCUCCUGCCUGGCCGAGCUGCGGCUCCAGCCCGUGCUGGGGCUCCGGGGGCUGGUAGCCAGUCUGGUUGGGAUCCAGGGGGUCUCGGGAGAGCAGGAUGCAGAUGGAGGGCACGUUCUUGUGCACGGUCAGGUUCUGCGCCGCGCCGCCGGGCAGCGGGUCCUGGUUCUCCCAGACUUCCAGCAGGGUUUUGUAGCGCACCUUGGUGACCUGGUGCAGCCCUCCCAGCUUCCGCUUCAUGAUCUCCACGCAGGUGAUGGUCUUGGUGACCGCUCUGCCGCAGCCGCUGAAGACGAUCUGCCGCCUGCCCUUCAGCUCCAUCUGGGCCAUGGCGAAGUUCAUCAGGUUCCUGAUCUUGCUGCCCUCCUUCACUUUCAUCUCCACCACGUCCGGCGGCAGGUCGGGGAAGGGCAAUGGGCUCUCCUCCUCUGAUGUCCUCACCUUUCGGAAGUUCUCCAUCCUGGACUGGGUGACGGGCUUGGCUCUCCCUCCUUCAGCAGCCAUCCUUCACCCCUUCCCGGUGGAUCUGCUCGGGCUCCUAGCCCCCCGGAACCAUAGCAGGGCUCCGCUGCCCUCCAGCCCAGCCUGCAGCAGGGCCGACUUUAACCCUGCGCCCGCGGGACCUCCAGCCCCGUCCCCUCUCCUGGCCCGGUGCUGGCUGCAGAGGAGCCGGUGGCUGUGCCGGAGGCUGUUCCCUGGGGAUACAGGGCUGCAGGAUCCCCUGGGUGCCCCUGGUUGCUCCCAGCCAGCUCCGGCUCUUGGUGAUGCUGCUCCGCUCCCACUGCAGCACUUGCUUCUGCCGCUCUUUGCUUCAUUCUGGACUUCAGC